UACGUAGGGUGCAAGCGUUGUCCGGAAUUAUUGGGCGUAAAGAGCUCGUAGGCGGUCUGUUGCGUCGGCUGUGAAAACCCGGGGCUCAACUCCGGGCCUGCAGCCGAUACGGGCAGGACUAGAGUUCGGCGGGGAGAUGGAAUUCCUGGUGUAGCGGUGAAAUGCGCAGAUAUCAGGAGGAACACCGGUGGCGAAGGCGGGAUCUCUGG
rnacentral:rRNA from 1 species